GAUGAACGCUGGCGGCGUGCCUAAUACAUGCAAGUCGAGCGAACAGACGAGGAGCUUGCUCCUCUGACGUUAGCGGCGGACGGGUGAGUAACACGUGGAUAACCUCCCUAUAAGACUGGGAUAACUUCGGGAAACCGGAGCUAAUACCGGAUAAUAUAUUGAACCGCAUGGUUCAAUAGUGAAAGACGGUUUUGCUGUCACUUAUAGAUGGAUCCGCGCCGCAUUAGCUAGUUGGUAAGGUAACGGCUUACCAAGGCAACGAUGCGUAGCCGACCUGAGAGGGUGAUAGGCGACACUGGAACUGAGACACGGUCCAGACUCCUACGGGAGGCAGCAGUAGGGAAUCUUCCGCAAUGGGCGAAAGCCUGACGGAGCAACGCCGCGUGAGUGAUGAAGGUCUUCGGAUCGUAAAACUCUGUUAUUAGGGAAGAACAAAUGUGUAAGUAACUAUGCACGUCUUGACGGUACCUAAUCAGAAAGCCACGGCUAACUACGUG
rnacentral:rRNA from 1 species